AACGAACGCUGGCGGCAUGCCUAACACAUGCAAGUCGAACGAGACCUUCGGGUCUAGUGGCGCACGGGUGCGUAACGCGUGGGAACCUGCCCUUAGGUUCGGAAUACCUCCCCGAAAGGGGUGCUAAUACCGGAUAAUGUCUUCGGACCAAAGAUUUAUCGCCUUUGGAUGGGCCCGCGUUGGAUUAGCUAGUUGGUAGGGUAAAAGCCUACCAAGGCGACGAUCCAUAGCUGGUCUGAGAGGAUGAACAGCCACACUGGGACUGAGACACGGCCCAGACUCCUACGGGAGGCAGCAGUGGGGAAUAUUGGACAAUGGGCGAAAGCCUGAUCCAGCAAUGCCGCGUGAGUGAUGAAGGCCUUAGGGUUGUAAAGCUCUUUUACCCGGGAUGAUAAUGACAGUACCGGGAGAAUAAGCUCCGGCUAACUCCGUG
rnacentral:rRNA from 1 species